rnacentral:rRNA from 1 species
UCAUGGCCUUUAUCGCUUAGGGCUACACACGUGCUACAAUGGGUGGUACAAAGAGAAGCCAACUCGCGAGAGCGCGCCAAUCUCAAAAGCCAUCCUCAGUUCGGGAUUGGAGUCUGCAACUCGACUCCAUGAAGUUGGAAUCGCUAGUAAUCGCGGAUCAGCAUGCCGCGGUCGAAUACGUUCCCGGGCCUU